UACGAAGGGGCUAGCGUUGUUCGGAAUUACUGGGCGUAAAGCGCGCGCAGGCGGCUAUCCAAGUCAGUGGUGAAAGCCCGGAGCUUAACUCCGGAACUGCCAUUGAAACUGUUUAGCUUGAGGACGAGAGAGGUGAGUGGAAUUCCCAGUGUAGAGGUGAAAUUCGUAGAUAUUGGGAAGAACACCGGUGGCGAAGGCGGCUCACUGGCUCGUUUCUGACGCUCAGGCGCGACAGCGUGGGGAUCGAAACAGG
rnacentral:rRNA from 1 species